rnacentral:rRNA from 1 species
UACAGAGGGUGCGAGCGUUGUUCGGAAUUACUGGGCGUAAAGCGCGCGCAGGCGGCCCUUUAAGUCCGUCGGUCAAAUGCCAGGGCUCAACCCCGAGCGUGCCGAGGAUACUGGAGGGCUGGAGACACGUAGAGGCAAGCGGAAUUCCGGGUGUAGCGGUGGAAUGCGUAGAGAUCCGGAAGAACACCGGAGGCGAAGGCGGCUUGCUGGGCGUGAUCUGACGCUGAGGCGCGAAAGCGUGGGGAGCGAACAGG